ACCAAACAACUUCUAGAGGGAAAGGACUCGAACCUGCAUUCAAAAAUUCAAAAUUUUUAGUACUUCCACUUAUACUACCCCCUA
rnacentral:tRNA from 1 species